AACGGCAGCCACGUUGUGAUUGGGUGUGAUUGCAGUAGUCAUCAUACCGUAAAAGGUGAAGUACAACAUAGUGAAGUACAUAAACAACAGGUACCAUAAAAAUUUCGAUGCAGUCCAUUCAAAAGCUGCCAUUGAAUAGAAUAUAAUGCUGUAGAUUAUUGCUUGUGAAAACACAUACGGAAACUCAAUAGCAACCUGAGCAAAUGCAAAUGGUAAAGCUGAGUACAUCCCUGCAGCUCUCUCUCGGUAUGAGACAAAUCUUUCAACGGAAAUAACUGGUUGGACAGCAGUGCCAUUUGUAACUCCAACGAACAACACUGCAACAUACAUGGAUCCCAUUGCAUUGAAU
rnacentral:misc_RNA from 1 species